rnacentral:misc_RNA from 1 species
CCCAAGUACUCUACCAGGUACUCCCCUUGGGGGAACUCGCUAACGGGUACGGAUCUGCCACCCUCGACGACYCGCGCGCUGGACUUGAGUUCCCCCACAGUAUUCCCUUGGAGAGUCCUCGAGUUCACGU